GUGCUGAUGAAUAGUCCCAACAGGACGAAACAGCUGUCCAGUAC
rnacentral:hammerhead_ribozyme from 1 species